AUGGGGAACUGCGCCGGCGUGCAGGGGAACGCCGAGAUCAACCCGACCUUCAGUGCUCCCAACACCUCAGGUAACAAUUCCAAGAGCAGCAACAGCAGCAAUGCGACUGAUACCAGCACUUUUGGCAAGAGUUCUUCGUCGUCGGUGCCACCGACUCCUCGGACCGAGAAGGAGAUCUUGCAGUCGUCCAACCUCCGCAAGUUCACCUUCAGUGAGCUGAGAAGUUCCACAAGGAACUUCCGGACCGACAGCCUGCUCGGGGAGGGGGGCUUCGGCUCCGUGUUCAAGGGGUGGAUCGAUGAGCGCACGUUCACGCCCGUCAAGCCCGGUGCCGGGAUGAUCGUCGCGGUGAAGAAGCUCAAGCUGGACAGUUUCCAGGGGCACAAAGAAUGGCUGGCUGAGGUCAAUUACCUGGGGCAGCUAUCACACCCCAAUCUUGUGAAGCUCAUCGGCUAUUGCUUGGAGGACGAGCAGCGGCUUCUCGUCUACGAAUUCAUGCCCAAGGGUAGCUUGGAGCACCAUCUUUUCAGGAGAGCUCCACAUUUCCAGCCCCUCUCAUGGAAUUUACGGAUGAAGGUUGCUCUUGAGGCUGCCAGGGGACUUGCUUUCCUGCAUAGCGAUGAAGCUAAAGUUAUAUACCGUGAUUUCAAGACCUCCAAUGUUCUUCUUGACUCGGAAUAUAAUGCGAAACUCUCUGAUUUUGGCUUGGCAAAAGAUGGCCCAAGUGGCGAUAAAAGUCAUGUUUCUACUAGGGUCAUGGGGACUCAAGGAUAUGCUGCCCCUGAAUAUCUUGCAACAGGCCACUUGACCACGAAGAGCGAUGUCUACACCUAUGGUGUUGUUCUUCUAGAGUUGCUGACCGGGCAACGUGCUCUGGACAAGAACCGCCCGCCUGGACAGCAUAACCUGGUGGAGUGGGCAAGACCUUACAUCAACAGCAAGAGGAGGGUCAUCCAUGUCCUGGACCCACGAUUGGGGUCGCAAUAUUCGCUCCCCGCGGCGCAGAAGGCGGCAGCGCUUGCGAUGCAAUGCCUGUCGAUGGACGUCCGGUGCAGGCCGGACAUGGAUCAGGUCGUGACCGCGCUGGAAAAGCUUCCGGCGGUGAAGAAAACAUACAAGUAG
rnacentral:rRNA from 1 species